UGACAUUUUUAUGAACUUUCACUCACUCCUUACAGUUAAGCUCACAAUUAGGGUAAAUUUGUUGAUUGGAUGAUCACAACAAGGCUCCAUUGAGGACUACAGUUCCCAGAAGGCAUUGCACCAUCCUCUGCUUGCUUCUGCUUGUGAUUCAGUGCCUCAGGAGUGGGAGGAGCUGCCUGAAGGGCCGGAGGAGGGCUGCCUGGAGGAGCUGUGUCUAGGAGGCAGAGGACUGGAGAAGGAGCCAUGAAGAAGGGAGGUGACAUUUUUGACAGUGACAGUGAUGAGACAGUAGUGGAGGGCUCAGUAAUUGAGAGUGACCUAGACGAAGAGGAGCUGCACAUGAAGAGGUUAUCUUUUGUUAAUAAAGAAGUAUCUUUAACAACUGAAACCAUCUUUUCUGCCGAAAUAAGAAGAGUAAAUGGAGUUUCAGAAAACCUCUCCCCAGAGAUUCAGCUUGCCUGUAAAUUCAGUGAUAAUCUAAAAAAUAUGAAGCAAAAGAACAAGAUAAAUCCGCUGACUCAUGAGAUGAGUGAAACUGAACAAUCUCAGUCUCUGCUGCAAGGUGCAGUAUUUACUACAAAGAUUUCUCAGCCUGGUCUUCCACUAAAUGCCUCAGUAGGUGGAGAGCAAAAUUACUCUGUAGGUUUAGAUACUGACAUGUCUGGAUUUCUGAAAACAGAGAGAAAGAUUUCACAUCGAUUAAAUGAUGAAGAUCACUCUCCAGAAGGAAGCCUACUGUCAACUGUAGUUGUAAAAGAGACAUUAAUGGCUCCAAAGGAAUGGACACCACAGAAUGUAUUUCCACGUGUUUUAAAAGAUUGUCAAAGUGCCACUAUGACCAUUACUGAGAUAGGUACUAGGGUGAAAGAUAAUUCUCUUGAGAAGUCUAUACCUGAUUUUAUUCUAUCAUCAACAUCAGAGAAGAUUUCCAGGGAAAUAUUAACUGUACAAAGUAUAAUGGGUGAUGAAUUUGAAAUUAGAGAUUUGCUGAAACCACUCAGUGAUUCAGAGAGUCCAGAAAUGAUAAACCCUUUGCAUAACACAUUACAAUGUCAAGGUGAUGCUCUAUCUGUAGAUAUAUCAGUAGAUGAGAACAGCAAUGUUCUGCCACUAGAGCUUCUGACAGCACUGAACUCCUUUUCAGAGUCUGUAGUACAGCCUGUCUGUCAAUUAGUAGGGAAGAAAAGAGAGCUUAAUGCUGAAGAAGAACAUUUGAGAUCAGAACCCAGUAUUUUCCAGACAGAUGACUGCACUCAAAUAACAGAUAACAAUUUUGAACCUCAAUUUUCUGUGAAGCAAUUGGAAGAAAUAAAAGCUUUAACAGAGGCUGCAUUUCAGAGUACUUUAGAUGAAGAAGUAUGUACAUGUUUUAAUACCUAUUUGAAAUGUUUUGUGUAUCUUACAAUAUUUGACUGA
rnacentral:lncRNA from 1 species